rnacentral:rRNA from 1 species
UUGAUCCCUGGCUCAGGACGAACGCUGGCGGCGUGCUUAACACAUGCAAGUCGAGCGGUAAGGCCUUUCGGGGUACACGAGCGGCGAACGGGUGAGUAACACGUGGGUGAUCUGCCCUGCACUCUGGGAUAAGCUUGGGAAACUGGGUCUAAUACCGGAUAUGACCGCAUGCCGCAUGGUGUGUGGUGGAAAGAUUUAUCGGUGCAGGAUGGGCCCGCGGCCUAUCAGCUUGUUGGUGGGGUAAUGGCCUACCAAGGCGACGACGGGUAGCCGACCUGAGAGGGUGACCGGCCACACUGGGACUGAGACACGGCCCAGACUCCUACGGGAGGCAGCAGUGGGGAAUAUUGCACAAUGGGCGGAAGCCUGAUGCAGCGACGCCGCGUGAGGGAUGAAGGCCUUCGGGUUGUAAACCUCUUUCAGCAGGGACGAAGCGUGAGUGACGGUAC